rnacentral:lncRNA from 1 species
GAGGAGGUCGUAGGAUGGUAGGGGAGCAAGGGAGGCUUGCAAAGGCAGACCGGCCAGCAGCCACCGCCAGUAAUUCCACGGGGAAGGAUUAAGGAGAAGAGAAACACACCUCGGAAUGUGACUUUGGAUAUCUUUUUUUGAUUUUAUUUUUCUUUUUUGGCCAUCUUGUCUCAUAUGAUGUUCUCUGGCUAGGGGUGAGGUCUGAGCCACAGUUGCAGCAAGGCCAGGCCCUUACCCACUGUGCCAGACCAGGGAUCGAACCUGCGUCCUGAUGCUGCAGAGAUGCCGCUGAUCCCAUUGACCACAGCUGGAACUCCUGGCCUUGGAAAACUUUUUUUUUUUUUGCUUUUUAAAGCCACACCCGCAGCAUCAUCUGUUUUGGGAUAUGAUUAUGCAAGUUGAAAGAACAGAAAACUGUUAAGUGCUCUGUUGUUUAUGAGAACUUCUUGAAUGUGCUAAAGCAUUGAUGGAAAUUUUCUCGAAGUGUCAACCCUAUUCUUAAAAGAGAUAUGACUUAGAACAGGAAAAGAAAUUCUUGGAGUUCCCAUCCUGGCUCAGUGGUAAACGAAUCCGACUAGGAACCAUGAGGUUGCGGAUUCGAUCCCUGCCCUUGCUCAGUGGGUUAAGGAUCCGGCGUUGCCGUGAGCUAUGGUGUAAGUUGCAGAUGCAGCUCGGAUCCCGCAUUGCUGUGGCUGUGGUGUAGGCUGGUGGCUACUGCUUUGAUUAGACCCUUAGCCUGGGAACCUCCGUAUGCUGCAGGAGUGGCCCUAGAAAGGGCAAAAAGACAAAAAAAAAAAAAAAAAAAGGAAAAGAAAUUAUUUUCUUUUUUUUCUGGCUUCACCCGAGGCAUUUGAAAGUUCCCCAGGCCAGGGAUUGGACCUGAGCCACAGCGGCGACCCAAGCCUGAAGUGAAAACACCAGAUUCUUAACCCUCUGCACCAUAAGAGAACUUUUUUUUUUUUUUUUAAUUUAGUUUAGUUGAUUUACAAUGUUGUGUUAGUUUCAGGUGUAGAGCAAAGUGACUCCGAUAUAUAUAUUCUUUUUCAGAUUUUCUUCCAUUAUAGGUUAUUUCAAGAUAUUGAGUAUAGGAGUUCCCGUCGUGGCCCAGUGGUUAACGAAUCCGACUAGGAACCAUGAGGUUGUGGGUUCGAUUCCUGGCCUCACUCGGUGGGUUAAGGAUCCGGUGUUGCCAUGAGCUGUGGUGUAGGUCGCAGACGCGGCUCAGAUCCCGCGUUGCGUUGCUGUGGCUCUGGUGUAGGCUGGCAGCUACAGCUCCAAUUAGACCCCUAGCCUGGAAAACUCCAUAUGCCAGGGGAGCGGCCCAAGAAAUGGCAAAAAGACAAAAAAAGAUAUCGAGUAUAGUUCCCUGUGCUGUGCAGUAGGGCCUUGUUGUUCACCUCUUUUACAAAUAGUAGCGUGUCUGUCUUACUCCCCUGACUCCUCACUUAUCCCUGCCCACCCGCUUCCCCUUUGGUAAGUUUGUUUCCAGUGUUUCUGAGAAGAAACCCUGACUUGAAGCGGGUCACUGUUGCCGCAUUUCCAUGAUGCUCUUUUCACAAAGGCUUCAUCCUUUGAAGAAGGUAUGUCUGUUACACAGAUGUCACCAAAUAUUCUGCCAGCAUGGGAACACCGUGAACCAUCUUGUGUCACUUUGAGGGCGGGGGUAAAAAGGGACACCAGGGAGUUCCUGUCGUGGCACAGCGGAAACGAAUCUGACUAGGAACCAUGAGGUUGCGGGUUCAAUAUCUGGCCUCGCUCAGUGGGUUAAGGAUCUGGCAUUACUGUGAGCUGCGGUGUAGAUUGCAGAAGUGGCUCAGAUCUGGCAUGGCUGUGGCUGUGGCAUAGGCCCACAGCUGUAGCUCCAAUUGGACCCCUAGCUUGGGAUCCUCCAUAUGCCAUGGGUGCGGCCCUAAAAAGCAAAGAAAAAAAAAAGUGACAACAAAACUCUUGUUUUGUCAGUGAACCUUUUUUAUUUUUUUGUUUUGGCCACACCUGAAGCAUGCUGAAGAUCCCAGCCAGGGAUGGAAGCUGCUCCACAGCAGUGACAAUAUCUAGUCCUUAAUGGCUAGGCUACCAGGGAACUACCAGUGGACAUAAUUUUUAAAAGUCAUUGAUCAAGAGAUGCCACAUAACCCUGAAAAAUGGCAAAGCAAAAUGUGCUACAAAAGAUGGAAUCACAUGCGUCAGCCCUUAGGAUGGCCCAGCCCUUAUCCCACAUGGGCUGCCCCAGAAAGAGGUUUGACCUUGGGUGCAAUACACCUUCGACCCUGCAGGACACCUUGUGUUCACUGCCGCCUCAACACCUGGGAGUUCCCGUCGUGGCGCAGUGGUUAACGAAUCCGACUAGGAACCAUGAGGUUGCGGGUUCGGUCCCUGCCCUUGCUCAGUGGGUUAACGAUCCGGCGUUGCUGUGAGCUGUGGUGUAGGUUGCAGACGCGGCUUGGAUCCUGCGUUGCUGUGGCUCUGGCAUAGGCCGGUGGCUACAGCUCCGAUUGGACCCCUAGCCUGGGAAUCUCCAUAUGCUGCGGGCGCGGCCCAAGAAAAAGCAAAAAAAAAAACAAAAAAAAAAAAAAAAAA